ACCUGAUACCAACAUAUCUCAGUUGGUAGAGAAUAAGACUCUUAAUCUCAGGGUUGUGAGUUUGAGCCCCACACUGGGCA